rnacentral:tRNA from 1 species
GGGGGUAUAGCUCAGUUGGGAGAGUGUUUGGCUGGCAGCCAAAAGGUCAGGGGUUCGAGCCCCCUUACUUCCAUCA